AACGAACGCUGGCGGCAUGCCUAACACAUGCAAGUCGAACGAUUGCCUUCGGGUGAUAGUGGCGCACGGGUGCGUAACGCGUGGGAAUCUGCCCUUAGGUUCGGAAUAACAGCCGGAAACGGCUGCUAAUACCGGAUGAUAUCGCGAGAUCAAAGAUUUAUCGCCUGAGGAUGAGCCCGCGUUGGAUUAGGUAGUUGGUGGGGUAAAGGCCUACCAAGCCGACGAUCCAUAGCUGGUCUGAGAGGAUGAUCAGCCACACUGGGACUGAGACACGGCCCAGACUCCUACGGGAGGCAGCAGUGGGGAAUAUUGGACAAUGGGCGCAAGCCUGAUCCAGCAAUGCCGUGUGAGUGAUGAAGGCCCUAGGGUUGUAAAGCUCUUUUACCCGGGAAGAUAAUGACUGUACCGGGAGAAUAAGCCCCGGCUAACUCCGUG
rnacentral:rRNA from 1 species